GCGUCAGUAGUGUAACGGAUAGAGCACGCAUUCCCUUGAAGAAUGAGGUGCGGGUUCUGAUCCCGCCUGGCGCG